rnacentral:tRNA from 1 species
GCGCGGAUGGUGGAAUAGGUAGACACGAGAGACUUAAAAUCUCUUGCCCUAAACAGGCGUGCGGGUUCGAUUCCCGCUCUGCGCACCA